UACGGAGGGUGCAAGCGUUAUCCGGAUUUACUGGGUUUAAAGGGGGUGUAGGCGGACUUUUAAGUCCGUGGUGAAAUCUCCGGGCUCAACCCGGAAACUGCCAUGGAUACUAUUGGUCUUGAAUGUUGUUGAGGUGGGCGGAACGGGUCAUGUAGCGGUGAAAUGCAUAGAUAUGACCCGGAACACCGAUUGCGAAGGCAGCCCACUAAGCAAUGAUUGACGCUGAGGCACGAAAGCGUGGGGAUCAAACAGG
rnacentral:rRNA from 1 species